rnacentral:rRNA from 1 species
CCCGAUGCAGCGACGCCGCUGAGGAUGUCGCCUUCGGAUGUAACUUCUUCAGCAGGAAGAAGGGAAGGUACGUACUGCAGUAGAAGCGCUGCUACUACGUGCCAGCAGCCGCGUUAUACGUACGGCGCAGCGUGUCAGGAGUACUUGUCUAAAGAGCUCGUAGGCGGCUGUCACGUCGGUUGUGAUAGCCGGGGUUAACACCGAGUCUGCAGUCGAUACGGGCAGGCUAGAGUUCGGUAGGUGAGAUCGGAAUUCCUGGUGUAGCGGUGAAAUGCGCAGAUAUCAGGAGGAACACCGGUGGCGAAGGCGGAUCUCUGGGCCGAUACUGACGCUGAGGAGCGAAAGCGUGGGGAGCGAACAGGAUUAGAUACCUUGGUAGUUCACGCCGUAAACGGUGGGCACUAGGUGUGGGCAACAUUCCACGUUGUCCGUGCCGCAGCUAACGCAUUAAGUGCCCCGCCUGGGGAGUACGGCCGCAAGGCUAAAACUCAAAGGAAUUGACGGGGGCCCGCACAAGCGGCGGAGCAUGUGGCUUAAUUGGACGCAACGCGAAGAACCUUACCAAGGCUUGACAUACACCGGAAAACCCUGGAGACAGGGUCCCCCUUGUGGUCGGUGUACAGGUGGUGCAUGGCCGUCGUCAGCUAGUGUCGUGAGAUGUUGGUUUAAGUCCCGCAACGAGCGCAACCCUUGUCCCGUGUUGCCAGCAGGCCCUUGUGGUGCUGGGGACUCACGGGAGACCGCCGGGGUCAACUCGGAGGAAGGUGGGGACGACGUCAAGUCAUCAUGCCCCUUAUGUCUUGGGCUGCACACGUGUUACAAUGGCCGGUACAAUGAGCUGUGAUACCGCGAGGUGGAGUGAAUCUCAAAAAGCCGGUCUCAGUUCGGAUUGGGGUCUGCAACUCGACCCCAUGAAGUCGGAGUCGCUAGUAAUCGCAGAUCAGCAUUGCUGCGGUGAAUACGUUCCCGGGCCUUGUACACACCGCCCGUCACGUCACGAAAGUCGGUAACACCCGAAGCCGGUGGCCCAACCCCUUGUGGGAGGGAGCUGUCGAAGGUGGGACUGGCGAUGGACGAAG